rnacentral:rRNA from 1 species
UACGGAGGGGGGCGAGCGUUAUUCGGAAUUACUGGGCGUAAAGCGCGCGCAGGCGGUCUUCCAAGUCAGUGGUGAAAGCCCGGAGCUCAACUCCGGAACUGCCAUUGAAACUGUUAGACUUGAGGAUGAGAGAGGUGAGUGGAAUUCCCAGUGUAGAGGUGAAAUUCGUAGAUAUUGGGAAGAACACCGGUGGCGAAGGCGGCGCUCUGGACCGAUACUGACGCUGAGGCGCGAAAGCGUGGGGAGCAAACAGG